CCUGAGGGAGCCUACCUCUAGGAAACACCCUCCUCUCCUACCCGCCACGCGCUCCCAGCUGGCCUGUGGGACACAGCCCUCCCCCCACCUCCCCUUCUCGGCCUUCUCAAGUGUGGGCGCCUCUGGGAGAGCCUCUCCAGGAUCUGUUUUAGAUAGUUUAGUGAACUCUCUCCAGCCUGGACUGCUGACCUGUGACCUCCCAUUAUUCAAACCAAGGCUGACACAUGUGGGCAUCUGGAGCUUCGUUCCCUCACUUCUCAGCCUCACCUCCUAAAAUAAAGAUGCUCUAUCAGGUUCUGACAAUGUGCCAGAUGGUCAAAACUCCAUUAGCCUGAGUAAGUAUGACAUGGAGCAGAGGCUCUGCUGACCUAAGAUGGAUGUGUAACAUAAGUGGGAAAGAAACUUUUGUUCCUCUAAGCCACUGAUGUUUGGGGGUUGUUUAUUGCUGCAGCAUAAGCUAGCCAAUUCUGACUGAUACAAAGCAGGAGGUAGCUUCAGGCAUUGUAGAUAACCAGGUACUCUGAAGGCCUUAUAACCACAAAAGAACUGAAUCAU